rnacentral:tRNA from 1 species
GGGGUUGUAACUCAACGGUAGAGUGCUUGCCUAGCAUGUGUGAGACCCUGGGAUUGAUCCCCAGCACUACA